rnacentral:tRNA from 1 species
GAGGGUGUAGCUCAAGUGGUAGAGCACAUGCUUAGCAUGCACGAGGUCCUGGGUUCAAUCCCCAGUACCUCCA